AAGGAUCAUUAUCGAUCAACGAAGUGCUUGUGAAGUUGUGCUGGCCUCUCUCGAGGCAUGUGCACGCUUUAUGGGUCUUCACACACCCCACACCUGUGAACCAACUGUAGGUCUUUUCGGGACCUAUGUCUUCUCAUAACACACUGUAUGUCUAGAAUGUCAUUAUGAUUAUCGUCUGCUUCCUCUGUGGAGUUGGGCUGAUAAGAUAAACAAUAUACAACUUUCAGCAACGGAUCUCUUGGCUCUCGCAUCGAUGAAGAACGCAGCGAAUUGCGAUAUGUAAUGUGAAUUGCAGAUUUUCAGUGAAUCAUCGAAUCUUUGAACGCACCUUGCGCUCCUUGGUAUUCCGAGGAGCAUGCCUGUUUGAGUGUCAUUAAAUUCUCAACCCCAUCAAUUUGUUUUGAUUGUGGGCUUGGAUUGUGGGGGCUUGCUGGUGGACUCUUGUUCAUCGGCUCCUCUGAAAUGUAUUAGCAAAGGUUGAUGUGCGAACCAGUGUCUCGGUGUGAUAAUGAUCAUCGUGUCUGACGUGCAGUGUUCCUGUGCUUACAGUCGUUGUCGCAAGACAACAUUUUUGAACCUUUGACCUCAAAUCAGGUAGGAUUACCCGCUGAACUUAA
rnacentral:rRNA from 1 species